rnacentral:rRNA from 1 species
UGGCCMAGGUUCGAAACGUGGAGAAWAGCAAUAUUUGMMAGUGGCAAACGGGUGAGUAACACCCCGUUGAACCUGCCUCGAAGUGGGGGAUAACGAUUGGAAMCGGUCGCUAAUACCGCACGGUUCUGCUCUGAUGGGAAUGGAGCAGAUAAAGAUUUAUCGCUUUGAGAGGGGCCCGCGGCCGAUUAGCUAGUUGGUAAGGUAAAGGCUUACCAAGGCGAUUAUCGGUAGCUGGUCUGAGAGGACGAUCAGCCACACGGGAACUGAGACACGGUCCCGACUCCUACGGGGGGCAGCAGUGAGGAAUAUUGGGCAAUGGGCGAAAGCCUGACCCAGCAACGCCGCGUGGAGGAUGAAGGCUUUAGGGUUGUAAACUCCUUUUGUGGGGGAAAAGAAUGGAUGGUACCCCAAGAAUAAGUCACGGCUAACUACGUGCCAGCAGCCGCGGUAAUACGAAGGGGGCUAGCGUUGUUCGGAAUUACUGGGCGUAAAGGGCGCGUAGGCGGUCUGUCAAGUUAGGUGUGAAAGCCCUGGGCUCAACCCAGGAACUGCAUUUAAGACUGGCAGGCUAGAGAUCUAGAGGGGAUAGUGGAAUUCCAAGUGUAGAGGUGAAAUUCGUAGAUAUUUGGAGGAACACCAGUGGCGAAGGCGACUAUCUGGCUAGAAUCUGACGCUGAGGCGCGAUAGCGUGUGGAGCAAACAGGAUUAGAUACYCUGKUAGUCCACGCCGUAAACGAUGAGUGCUUGAUGUUGGAUGCUAACGCAUUCAGUGUCGGAGUUAACGCGUUARGCACUCCGCCUGGGGARGUACGGUCGCAAGAUUAAAACUCAAAGGAAUUUGACGGGGAMCCCGYAYMA